CGGUUUACGGCGAGUGAUGAGGAGGCAGAGCUGGAUCGAUGCGGACACGUACGGGCCCGCCUGUCACACGCGGCAUCUUGUAGCCCGGCCGUGACUGCCGCUGCCUGCUGGCAGAGAGCAAGAACCAAACAAUGUCGGGGCACAUCAGAAGCCCGAGAGGUUUCUCCAUCGAUGGUUUUGCCGUUUUUUUUUUUUGCGG
rnacentral:lncRNA from 1 species